GUCUCUGUAACGCAAUGGGUAGCGCGUUGGACUUAUGAUCCAGAGGUCGUGGCUCGAAACCCACCUGGGAUG